UGCAAGUCGAGCGGAACAGAUGGGGAGCUUGCUCCCGUGAUGUUAGCGUGCGCGACGGGUGACGUAACACGUGGGUAACCUGCCUGUAAGACUGGGAUAACUCCGGGAAACCGGGGCUAAUACCGGAUGCUUGUUUGAACCGCAUGGUUCAAACAUAAAAGGUGGCUUCGGCUACCACUUACAGAUGGACCCGCGGCGCAUUAGCUAGUUGGUGAGGUAAUGGCUCACCAAGGCAACGAUGCGUAGCCGACCUGAGAGGGUGAUCGGCCACACUGGGACUGAGACACGGCCCAGACUCCUACGGGAGGCAGCAGUAGGGAAUCUUCCGCAAUGGACGAAAGUCUGACGGAGCAACGCCGCGUGAGUGAUGAAGGUUUUCGGAUCGUAAAGCUCUGUUGUUAGGGAAGAACAAGUACCGUUCGAAUAGGGCGGUACCUUGACGGUACCUAACCAGAAAGCCACGGCUAACUACGUGCCAGCAGCCGCGGUAAUACGUAGGUGGCAAGCGUUGUCCGGAAUUAUUGGGCGUAAAGGGCUCGCAGGCGGUUUCUUAAGUCUGAUGUGAAAGCCCCCGGCUCAACCGGGGAGGGUCAUUGGAAACUGGGGAACUUGAGUGCAGAAGAGGAGAGUGGAAUUCCACGUGUAGCGGUGAAAUGCGUAGAGAUGUGGAGGAACACCAGUGGCGAAGGCGACUCUCUGGUCUGUAACUGACGCUGAGGAGCGAAAGCGUGGGGAGCGAACAGGAUUAGAUACCCUGGUAGUCCACGCCGUAAACGAUGAGUGCUAAGUGUUAGGGGGUUUCCGCCCCUUAGUGCUGCA
rnacentral:rRNA from 1 species